rnacentral:rRNA from 1 species
GAUGAACGCUGGCGGCGUGCCUAAUACAUGCAAGUCGAGCGAACGGACGAGAAGCUUGCUUCUCUGAUGUUAGCGGCGGACGGGUGAGUAACACGUGGAUAACCUACCUAUAAGACUAGGAUAACUUCGGGAAACCGGAGCUAAUACCGGAUGAUAUUUUGAACCGCAUGGUUCAAAAGUGAAAGACGGUCUUGCUGUCACUUAUAGAUCGAACCGCGCUGCAUUAGCUAGUUGGUAAGGUAACGGCUUACCAAGGCAACGAUGCAUAGCCGACCUGAGAGAGUGAUCGGCCACACUGGAACUGAGACACGGUCCAGACUCCUACGGGAGGCAGCAGUAGGGAAUCUUCCGCAAUGGGCGAAAGCCUGACGGAGCAACGCCGCGUGAGUGAUGAAGGUCUUCGGAUCGUAAAACUCUGUUAUUAGGGAAGAACAUAUGUGUAAGUAACUGUGCACAUCUUGACGGUACCUAAUCAGAAAGCCACGGCUAACUACGUG